rnacentral:rRNA from 1 species
CCUACGGGUGGCAGCAGUGAGGAAUAUUGCGCAAUGGGGGAAACCCUGACGCAGCAACGCCGCGUGGGUGAAGAAGGCCUUCGGGUCGUAAAGCCCUUUCGGACGGGACGAACGCUCCGCGGUGACAACCCGCGGAGCCUGACGGUACCGUAAGAAGAAGCACCGGCUAACUCCGUGCCAGCAGCCGCGGUAAUACGGAGGGUGCAAGCGUUGUUCGGAAUUACUGGGCGUAAAGCGCGUGUAGGCGGCCUUGCAAGCCAGACGUGAAAGCCCUCGGCUU